rnacentral:rRNA from 1 species
UACAGAGGUGGCAAGCGUUGUUCGGAAUUACUGGGCGUAAAGGGCUCGUAGGCGGCCAACUAAGUCAGACGUGAAAUCCCUCAGCUUAACUGGGGAACUGCGUCUGAUACUGGAUGGCUUGGAUUCGGGAGAGGGAUGCGGAAUUCCAGGUGUAGCGGUGAAAUGCGUAGAUAUCUGGAGGAACACCGGUGGCGAAGGCGGCAUCCUGGACCAAUAUUGACGCUGAGGAGCGAAAGCUAGGGGAGCAACGGG